ACUGUGCUAAGGUAGCAUAAUAAUUUGUUAUUUAAUUGAUAACUGGGAUAAACGGUAUUACAAGAAUUAUAUUUUUAUAUUCACAAAUUAUAAAUUAAUUAAUUAAGUAAAAAAGCUUAUUUAAAUUAAAGAGACGACAAGACCCUAGAAUCUUAAAAUUAAUUUUACUGGGGUGGUAGUGUUUAAAUUUAACAACUUUUUUUUAAAAUUACUAAAGAUUUCUAUUUCUUAGAUAAAUAAAAAGAUACUCUAGGGAUAACAGCAUAAUUUUUUUCUAGAGUCCUAAUCGACAAAAAAGAUUAUGACCUCGAUGUUGAAUUAUAGAAACUUAAAUAAGUAGAAUUCUUUAAAGUAAGUCUGUUCGACUUUUUAUUCUAUACGUGAUCUGAGUUCA
rnacentral:rRNA from 1 species